UGCUUACACAUGCAAGUCGAACGGUAACGCGGGGCAACCUGGCGACGAGUGGCGAACGGGUGAGUAAUGUAUCGGAACGUGCCCAGUUGUGGGGGAUAACUACUCGAAAGAGUGGCUAAUACCGCAUACGACCUGAGGGUGAAAGCGGGGGAUCGCAAGACCUCGCGCAAUUGGAGCGGCCGAUAUCAGAUUAGCUAGUUGGCGGGGUAAAAGCCCACCAAGGCGACGAUCUGUAGCUGGUCUGAGAGGACGACCAGCCACACUGGGACUGAGACACGGCCCAGACUCCUACGGGAGGCAGCAGUGGGGGAAUUUUGGGACAAUGGGACGCAAGUCUGAUCCAGCCAUGCCGCGUGCGGGAAGAAGGCCUUCGGGGUGUAAACCGCUUUUGUCAGGGGAGAAACGCUCUGGGAUAAUACCCUGGGGGUAAUGACGGUACCUGRAGAAUAAGCACCGGCUAACUACGU
rnacentral:rRNA from 1 species